rnacentral:rRNA from 1 species
UGCUAAUUUGCUGACGAGUGGCGCACGGGUGCGUAACGCGCAUACAAUCUACCUUUUACAGUGGGAUAGCCUUUAGAAAUGAAGAUUAAUACCGCAUAGUAUGUUUAAAUGGCAUCAUUUAGAUAUUAAAGAUUUAUCGGUAAAAGAUGAGUAUGCGUUCUAUUAGCUAGAUGGUAAGGUAACGGCUUACCAUGGCAACGAUAGAUAGGGGCCCUGAGAGGGGGAUCCCCCACACUGGUACUGAGACACGGACCAGACUCCUACGGGAGGCAGCAGUGAGGAAUAUUGGACAAUGGGCGCAAGCCUGAUCCAGCCAUGCCGCGUGCAGGAAGACUGCCCUAUGGGUUGUAAACUGCUUUUAUACAGGAAGAAACACCCCCUCGUGAGGGGGCUUGACGGUACUGUAAGAAUAAGGAUCGGCUAACUCCGUGCCAGCAGCCGCGGUAAUACGGAGGAUCCAAGCGUUAUCCGGAAUCAUUGGGUUUAAAGGGUCCGUAGGUGGAUAAUUAAGUCAGAGGUGAAAGUCUGCAGCUCAACUGUAGAAUUGCCUUUGAUACUGGUUAUCUUGAGUCAUUAUGAAGUGGUUAGAAUAUGUAGUGUAGCGGUGAAAUGCAUAGAUAUUACAUAGAAUACCAAUUGCGAAGGCAGAUCACUAAUAAUGUACUGACACUGAUGGACGAAAGCGUG